rnacentral:rRNA from 1 species
AACGAACGCUGGCGGCAUGCCUAACACAUGCAAGUCGAACGAGACCUUCGGGUCUAGUUGCGCUCGGGUGCGUAACGCGUGGGAACCUGCCCUUAGGUUCGGAAUAACUCCCCGAAAGGGGUGCUAAUACCGGAUAAUGUCUUCGGACCAAAGAUUUAUCGCCUUUGGAUGGGCCCGCGUUGGAUUAGCUAGUUGGUAGGGUAAAAGCCUACCAAGGCGACGAUCCAUAGCUGGUCUGAGAGGAUGAUCAGCCACACUGGGACUGAGACACGGCCCAGACUCCUACGGGAGGCAGCAGUGGGGAAUAUUGGACAAUGGGCGAAAGCCUGAUCCAGCAAUGCCGCGUGAGUGAUGAAGGCCUUAGGGUUGUAAAGCUCUUUUACCCGGGAUGAUAAUGACAGUACCGGGAGAAUAAGCUCCGGCUAACUCCGUG